rnacentral:lncRNA from 1 species
UCUAUAUUGAGACAAAGGAAAGGAUCCAUCCGAAAACAACACCUAUUAUCUUGGGCUUGGCAGCAAGGAAGAGGACAGGUAGUGGAAAUCCUACAAUCGGAAAAGCAGACUGAAAGGUGACAAAGAAGCUGAAGAUGGGUGGUGAAGAGAGGUAUAACAUUCCAGCCCCUCAAUCUAGAAAUGGUAGUAAGAACCAACAGAAGCUUAAUAGAAGACUAAGGAU